AGUAAAGUCGUAACAAGUUUCGUAGGUGAACCUGCGGAAGGAUCAUUAAUAAAUGUCUACUUUUUUAAGUAGACGCUUAUAUCUACCCUUUGUGAAUUUGUUGUUUUGAAAUAAUUUUUUUAAAAUUAUUGAUUGUCUUUCCUGUUGAUUGUUGUCUUAAUGGCAAAUGAUUCGCAGGGAUGUCAGUAUUUUAAAAAGACCUUUUUAAAUUAAACUUUUGUAUUCAUUGUCUAAAUUAUUUUUAUAAUAUAAAACAAUUUUGACAAUGGAUUCUUGGUUCUCGCAACGAUGAAGAACGCAGCAAAAUGCGAUAAGUAGUGUGAAUUGCAGAAUACGUGAAUAUCGAAUCUUCGAACGCAUAUUGCACUUUUUAGUUUACUAAAAAAGUAUGUCUGUUUGAGUAUCAGUAAAUAUUCUCAUAAAAACUUUUGUUUUUAUGGUUAAGAGUGUUUUACAACAACAGUUGUUUCACUUUAAAUUUUUUUAAAAUUUGAAUUUUUCUAAUUUUAAAAUAAAAUUGGAUAAAAUUUUCCCGUAAAAAAGAAUAACCUAAACAAUUUAAUUUUUGAUUAGAAUUCUUCAAUUAUAAAGGAAAAUUAACUAAAUAACUUGAUCUCAAAUCAGAUAAGAGUACCGCUGAACUUAAGCAUAUCAAUAACGAGAAAAGAAACUAACAAGUUCCUUAUAACGGCGAGUGAACGGGAAGAGCUCAAAUUGAAAUCUUCAAGGUUUACCUUGACGAAUUGUAGUUUAAAGAAGUGUUUUCUGUUGAAGUUUUGGUAAAAGUUCUUUGGAAUAGGACAUCAUAGAGGUGAGAAUCCGUAUUUGACCAUUAUUUCAGCUGUGUGAUACACUUUCAAAGAGUCGGAUUGUUGGAAUGCAGUCCAAAAUGGUGUAAAUUCAUCUAAAGCUAAAUAUUGCGAGAGACCGAUAGCGAACAAGUACCGUGAGGAAAGAUGAAAGAACUUUGAAAAGAGAGUUAAACAGUACGUGAAAUGUCAAAAGGGAAGCGUUUGACACAGUGUGUUUCUCGAAAAUCAAUUAAAAAAGUUGAUUUUGUGUGUAUUGACCUUAACAGCUUGCUUCAUCUUUUCUUGCUUUUUUAAUGCACUUUCGUUUAACAAGUCAACAUCAGUUUCUUUUGUUGUAAAAGGUCAUUGGAAGGUGGCUUUCUCUCGGAGAAAGUGUUUAUAGCUUUUGAUCUCUGCAUCGGAGAGACUGAGGUCUGCGCGUAGAUCCUUCGGGUUAGAUACAUUUGUGCUAAAGCUUUUCAUAGACAACUUUUGAAUAUGUUAGUCUUGUACUUACCGCUUAUGCUAUUUACUACGCUUAGGAUGUUGA
rnacentral:misc_RNA from 1 species